UACGUAGGGGGCAAGCGUUGUCCGGAAUCAUUGGGCGUAAGGCGCGUGUAGGCGGCCCGGUAAGUCCGCUGUGAAAGUCGGGGGCUCAACCCUCGGAUGCCGGUGGAUACUGUCGGGCUAGAGUGCGGGAGAGGCGAGUGGAAUUCCUGGUGUAGCGGUGAAAUGCGCAGAUAUCAGGAGGAACACCAAUUGCGAAGGCAGCUCGCUGGAACGUUACUGACGCUGAGACGCGAAAGCGUGGGGAGCAAACAGG
rnacentral:rRNA from 1 species